AAAAUAGCAGUAUAAGGUGGCGCAGUAUUCUAGUCAACAAAAGCAUCCUGAAGGCGGGGCUAAAAAUCCGUCGAAGGGCACAUCGAUGAAGUUCCUGGUUGCGGGCUUGUUACGCCCAGUAAUGGGUCCUGGCUGGGAGUAAGGAACUGGGGGCGAACCGCAAUGGCAUGCGGUCAACGACCCUUAUUCCGUGGAGACCCGCUUGAUUUCAAGCGGGAUGAAACCUGUAGGCAGUGAUCCUGCCUGCAGUGUAGCCUGCCUUGAGUGGCGUUUGGUGGACGAUAUUGCAUUUUGCUAAUCUAAACCAUCACUGCAAAAGAGGCUAAGGAUGUCUGGCGUUGUUGAGGAAAUCUCCUAGACUGUUCCUUUGUGAAAUGGAAUGGGGAUUGAAGUGUGUACUGAGUGGUAGUUCAGUCUCGUUGCUGGCAACAGAACGAAGCCAUGAAUAAUAGGAAACUGCUGAUACGGCGACGCAUCAGUUCGUGGUUGGGAAAUCCUACUGGACCUAAGGCACAGAGUUUACCCAUUCUAUUGCCACCUUUGUUUUAAUAUUU
rnacentral:sRNA from 1 species